rnacentral:rRNA from 1 species
UACGAAGGGGGCUAGCGUUGCUCGGAAUCACUGGGCGUAAAGGGCGCGUAGGCGGCCGAUUAAGUCGGGGGUGAAAGCCUGUGGCUCAACCACAGAAUUGCCUUCGAUACUGGUUGGCUUGAGACCGGAAGAGGACAGCGGAACUGCGAGUGUAGAGGUGAAAUUCGUAGAUAUUCGCAAGAACACCAGUGGCGAAGGCGGCUGACUGGACAAGCAUUGACGCUGAGGUGCGAAAGCGUGGGGAGCAAACAGG